GGUUCAUUCAAAUUUCUUCCCUAUCAACUUUCGAUGGUAAGGUAUUGGCUUACCAUGGUUUCGACGGGUAACGGGGAAUUAGGGUUCGAUUCCGGAGAGGGAGCCUGAGAAACGGCUACCACAUCCAAGGAAGGCAGCAGGCGCGCAAAUUACCCAAUCCCGACCGGGGAGGUAGUGACAAUAAAUACUGAUACAGGGCUCUUUUGGGUCUUGUAAUUGGAAUGAGUACAAUUUAAACCUCUUAACGAGGAACAAUUGGAGGGCAAGUCUGGUGCCAGCAGCCGCGGUAAUUCCAGCUCCAAUAGCGUAUAUUAAAGUUGUUGCAGUUAAAAAGCUCGUAGUUG
rnacentral:rRNA from 1 species